GGGGAUGUAUAAAUUCGACGGGGAAGAGACCAAUUAAAGUGCAAGCCGGUGUUGAUCGCCGCCACCGCAAAAAUUGGCGGUCAAAUUAUAAAUGCCAACAAGGCAUCUUCUCCCCACUACGCUUUCGCGUAAUCGGGGCGUCUUACUGACUCUAUCUUGACGGGGUAGGUAAGGUGCAACUCUAGACAAGAGGACUAUUGUCGAGCUGGUCACUAGUCAACCAGUCCUUAAACAAUCGACCUUUCUUUAAGCCGAUCCCUCUAACCGGUAGGCUUAAGGGAGAUAUAGGGUUAGAUAAGCUUGUAGUAUCUUUAAUAGUUCACUUUUUCGGACCCGGGGGAAGAGCCCGGCAUCUCCACCA
rnacentral:tmRNA from 1 species